rnacentral:rRNA from 1 species
UACGUAGGGUGCGAGCGUUAAUCGGAAUUACUGGGCGUAAAGCGUGCGCAGGCGGUUUCUUAAGUCAGAUGUGAAAGCCCCGGGCUUAACCUGGGAACUGCGUUUGAAACUGGGAGACUCGAGUGUGGCAGAGGGGGGUGGAAUUCCACGUGUAGCAGUGAAAUGCGUAGAUAUGUGGAGGAACACCGAUGGCGAAGGCAACCCCCUGGGUUAACACUGACGCUCAUGCACGAAAGCGUGGGGAGCAAACAGG